AAGUCGUAACAAGGUAUCCGUAGGUGAACCUGCGGAUGGAUCAUUACAGAGGAAAAGCUAGAUGCUUUCACCCUUGCUGUUGACGUAGUGUGUUAAGGGUGGGUGUGCAGUGGAGUGCUUGCACGGCGCCGCCGCCCACCCUCAUUCUCAUUAACCAUUGUUUUAUCUACAGUUGUCUGGCAAUUAACCAAUAUAUAACCCUAUACAACUGCUAGCAACGGAUCACUCGGCUCUC
rnacentral:misc_RNA from 1 species